CAAACGACCACACUAGUCACUACUAGUAGUACGGAGCAAGCCGCCGCCCGGCCAUGGCUUCGCCGGGCUACCGCGGCGCCGCCAAGGCCAAGCACCUACGCGUGCUGCUGCCAUUUACCUGCGACGCUCUGCGCAUCCCCGACGAGGUCGCCGUGGAAAUCGGCGCGGAGGAGGCCCUAAUCGUCGGCCCAGCCAGCGGCAAGGUCAUCUGGCCCGUCGAGGUCGGGCAGGACGGCGACGGCGCGUUCCUGGGCCGCGGGUGGCCGGAGUUCGCGGGCUCCUCGUCCUCCGCCACCGCGGCCGCGGCGUCCUCUCCGCCAAGGCGUUCGACGCCACCUUCUGCCUAAGGGAGCUCGGCGGCGCACCAGCUCCCCCUGCAGUUGAAGCUACCGCGAGCAGCAAAGAUUCCAUCCAUAAGCCAAAGUUCAUCAGAGUGCUUCCACGAGAUUUCAUGGAAAAGAUGCUAAUACCUGCUAAGUUCGUGCAACAGUACAUCGCCAAAGAGCUCCUAGACAAUCGUAUGGCCAUCAUUUUGGGCCCUAUUGGCAAAGUUUAUAACAUUAAGCUCGAAGUGGGGCAUUCGGGCGUGUUCUUCGCAGGUGGUUGGUCACAGUUUCUCAGGGUUCAUGACAUUACUGAAGCUAAUUCUCUGCUGUUAAGGUACGAGGGAAACAUGGUUUUUACAGUCAAAGUUUUUGAGCCCGAUGGAUACCAGAGAGAAGCCAAGCACAAGAAAAACAGAGUUCUACAAAUAUCAACAUUGCCACAUAUUCAAGAGCAGAAGGAAACACCAUCUGCUUCCGUUCAGAAGCAGUUGAAGAACAAUUUACCAACUGUUAUUGGAGAAAAGAAACCACAAGACUCCAAAACUUCUCUGGAUCUGGCAUCAUUAAAGUAGACCUCUGUCUAUGAGAUCGGGCCACCAUCCUGGAUAGAGAAGCAGAUCAAUGCCAACACACUCAAACGUCGUCUUGUUUUGCCAAAUGCUUUCUGUGAUGCUAUUGGGUUGCGGGAACAUUGCACGAUCACACUCAAGACCUCAAGCAAUGGUAGCGGAUCUUGGCAGGUACAUGGUUACCCAUCCAGGGAUAGCGGGUACAUGCUUCAGCAGGGUUGGAGGAGGUUCUGCCAGGAGAAUAGUCUCAAGGAAGGUGACAUCUGCACCUUUAAUAUCAUUGAAAGCACGAUGCGGCAUGUCAAUAUCACCCAUUAUAUAUGGAAGCAGCAGGAAACACCUUUUCCUUCCAGUAGGAAGCGAAAGAGCAGGUAUGACAGCUCAGGUAGUGAAGAUCAAAAGAAGCAAAGUGGCUCCAUCACUUCAUUAAAGAAGGCAUCGUUACAGGUGAAAUGCAUCUACCAGAUUGGGCCUCCGGCUUGGAUAAGGAAGGAAAUGAGUGCCAAAACAAUUAAAAAAUAUCUUCCUGUGCCAGCAGCCUUCUGUGAUGCGAUUGGCUUUCGGGAAGCUUGCACGGUUACAUUCAAGACCUCACUGAGCAGCACCAGGUCUUGGCAGGUGCGUGUUCUCCCAUACAAGCAUAGCAGCCACCAGGUCGGGUCAGGCUGGAGGAGGUUCUGCAGGGAGAAUGAGAUCAAGGAAGUGACGUGUGCACCUUCAACAUCAUUGAUUCCAUGCUCUGGCAUGUCGUCAUUGUGCGUCGAUAAGCUUUAACCAAUUGAACUGACAACAGUGCAUCAGUGUCUUUUGUUAAAAACGCUGGGAUGCUAAUAUUCUUAAUAUGAUAGUACAUCAGUUCAUCGUUGACUUCAGUUAAAUACACUGUAAUGCUACUCUUAAUAUGAAUUG